ACAUUGAAAUGCCAGUUCCCAUACGAUCACCAAAGUUAGGCAAUCAUGAGACGGGUCAGUAACUAGAUGUGUGACUGCUUGGGAAUACCAGGUGCGGUAAG